GUUAGAGUAGGUGGUUGCGCGUUAAGUGCUAGUGGACGGGAAGUUGCCACUAGACGAAAAAACUCUGUUUGUAAUAUAAAUACGGUUUUGCGAUGCAAUUACCGCAUUCCGCUAAC
rnacentral:ncRNA from 2 species